AACGCAAAUUGCACUCCUUGGUAUUCCGAGGAGUACACAUGCUUGAGGGUCAGUUAAAAUAAAUCGUACAUCAUUGAUGUUACGGAUCUGGGUUAUCCGAUUCUUAAGUCGGUUACCUAAAAUUAAAUUUUAUGUAGUGUGAAGCGUACUAAUUAUUACUUAAUUAUUAAGUUCGUUAACCACUUACUACACUUUAUUACGUUAUCAUUAAAGUAUUUAGUGAUAUAAUGUAUAAAAUUAAGAGAAUGACCUCAAGUCAUGUGAGAGUACCCGCUGAACUUAA
rnacentral:misc_RNA from 1 species